rfam:Desulfobacteraceae bacterium IS3 Ga0073107_10658, whole genome shotgun sequence.
CCCGCCAAUAAAUUGGCGGGCUAUUUUCAUACGUCCCUGCGGGACA